AUUAAACGCUGGCGGCAUGCCUUACACAUGCAAGUCGAACGGUAGCGCGGGGCAACCUGGCGACGAGUGGCGAACGGGUGAGUAAAGCAUCGGAACGUGCCCUGGAAUGGGGGAUAACGUAGCGAAAGUUACGCUAAUACCGCAUAUUCUGUGAGCAGGAAAGCAGGGGAUCGCAAGACCUUGCGUUCUGGGAGCGGCCGAUGUCGGAUUAGCUAGUUGGUGGGGUAAAAGCCUACCAAGGCGACGAUCCGUAGCGGGUCUGAGAGGAUGAUCCGCCACACUGGGACUGAGACACGGCCCAGACUCCUACGGGAGGCAGCAGUGGGGAAUUUUGGACAAUGGGCGCAAGCCUGAUCCAGCCAUGCCGCGUGAGUGAAGAAGGCC
rnacentral:rRNA from 1 species